CCAUUUGAUUCUGUUUAGAAGAUAGCCACCGACUCCGAAGGGAAAGCUUCAGUGGCUGAUGGAGCUGUGACCUUUUGAGCAGGGUACAUUUGGAGCACAGAGCCGGGCAUAUAAUAUACAAGACAGCACAGACCGGAAGAAAGACUGAUGAAGAAAAGUAACAGCAUGAUUGAGGGUGAAGGCAGAGAGAGCGGUACCCCAGGACAGACCUCG
rnacentral:sRNA from 1 species